rnacentral:rRNA from 1 species
UACGUAGGGUGCGAGCGUUGUCCGGAAUUACUGGGCGUAAAGAGCUCGUAGGCGGUUUGUCGCGUCGUCUGUGAAAUUCUGCAACUCAAUUGUAGGCGUGCAGGCGAUACGGGCAGACUUGAGUACUACAGGGGGAGACUGGAAUUCCUGGUGUAGCGGUGAAAUGCGCAGAUAUCAGGAGGAACACCGGUGGCGAAGGCGGGUCUCUGGGUAGUAACUGACGCUGAGGAGCGAAAGCGUGGGGAGCGAACAGG